rnacentral:misc_RNA from 1 species
UGAUUGUUGGGAUUCCUUGCUCUGGAGGAUUAUCUAUAGCUGCAUCAAAUUCGUUCUGCCAGGCUUCAUUGUAAUGGGUUGGACCAUUACCUACUUGCAAGGGAGCCACAGGAACCUGGGGAGCGAACAAGAUCGGGGAUCGGAACUUCCCAGGGCUAUGAGGAGGAGUAUUUCCCAUCGAAUCUGAAGAAACAACGUUACUAGUUUCACUAGUCACCGAACUGUCAAUUGCCGGACUUUGUCCAUCGACGUCGGCUAUUCCUCCGGCUGCUGGGAAGUUCCGAUCCCCG